rnacentral:lncRNA from 1 species
AGACUUGAAGGUGAAAACCGGGGCUUCGGGAGUUUAACCGCAGAGUUUCAGCACGAGAGAUGGAAGAAUGGAGCACCUAAACCCGGCACCCCAAGAGUUCUAUUUAUAGGGGGGUUUCUGGUGUGCCACGUCGUGGCUAAGGUUGGCCACGUUGUGGGGAGCAAGCCUUAUCCCCUUCCGUUGAUUGGACGCCCUCAGUCACUUGCCGGGUCGCGGCCAAGCUGUGCCACGUCGUGGGGGCCUGACAGCCUCGGAUUUUGGACCCCGAACUUGUAAAAUCCGUAACUUUCGCAUACGAGCUCCGUUUUCGACGUUCUUUAUAUGCACGCGUAGCUAAAAAUAUGAUCUACAACUCUCGUUUAGACUUCAUCGGCAAAUUUUGACUUUAUUUUUAAUUAUUUAUUUUUAACGGGCCGGGACACGAAAAGUCCGUUAAAAAUCCAUAACUUCUUCAUCCGAUGUCCGUUUUCGUCAGACUUUUCGCCGUUGCGCUACUAAUGUUGAGACCUUAGAUUCUCAUUUAGGUUGUUUUGGUCAAAAGUAUCUCGAGCUCUAUUUCGAGUUUUUAGCUGUCUACUGCUAUACCCGAAUCUUGGAAAAAUCAUAACUUCCUCAUACGAAGUCAGAUUUGGACGUUCUUUUUAUGUACGCUCACGGUUUGAGGUUAUCUAUAACUUUUAUUUAGAUACUUAAGGCUAAAAACUAUUGUAUUGAAACUUCGCGUUUUUCGUUUAAUCGGUGUUGCCGGUUUUGUCGGGAAUUUUAGAAUGGUUAUAACUUCCUCGUUAUAACUCGGAUUUUUGUGUUCUUUAUAUGUAUGAAAACCUUGUUACGAUAUUUACCACUUAGUAUACUCAAUUACGGUUUUAUAAAAGUUUAAAUUUUGACCUGAAUUUUGCUGUUGUUACAUUAUCCCCCCGUUAGAGAGAAUUUCGUCCCGAAAUUCGCAUUUUGACUGGGACUCCAAUUCUUGCGGGCAGGCGAGAGUGCUUCUGGUCGAUUUGUUCCUCUUGUUCCUUUAUGAAUCUAGAUCCUAAUGUGCGUGUUUCAGCGGACCUUCAUUACUCCGCCUAUCACUUCGACCGAUCGGGAUCGUGUGGUUUUGGGUUUAUUUACUUAUGUUCUUCUAAAUGUUAGAAUAUUCACUCGAUGCAUUAGGGCAGCUACGUUUUGAAGUUCAUGGUUGAAUUCACUCCUAGUUUCUGAGCUUGGAUUUGACUCGUUGUAUGUGUGGUAUUUCUAAAUGAUCUGUUGGGGGAUACUACGGGAAGGUUGUAAAGAUAUAGUACUCCUCACAUGAGUACCUCGGGGUUUUGAAACUUGAAACCAAAUGGGGUUAGUAUCGGGGUUGUCGUGAUAAAUCGAUCGAGUUUCGUUAGUCGAUGGUUAAAGUGAAAGGGUCUACUGGUAUGGGUAGGGCCACACCAAUCCACGUCGAAUGCCGACGUCGGUACUUCUCAUUGUAAGACGUUCGUUAGUGGGAUAGUGCAUUCUACGUAUGUGUUCUCAGUGCUUUUUAGUCUAUCUCUAUUAUUACUACUAUGAAAGUUUUGUUUAAUGAUUGGGGUGUUUAUUCGAGUAGAUUUUUAAACUUGUGACUCACGGAACUCCUCUGUGUCCCUACUAUCAAAUGGAAUGUAUGUAAAUAAGUUAUCGAGGAGAAAUGUACCCGGAAUAACCGUGGGGUCUGCAAUAGCCUCCUCUUGGCCCAUUGCGAAUACUCAGCCUCCUCCACUAGCAUUCUUGUUGUUUUCCUUCGGGCAGUUCCGUCGGAAGUGUCCCGUUGCUCCGCACUCAUAGCAAGUACGGUCUACUCCCACAUUUGCGGCUGGAGCGGUUGAUUGGGCUAUUUCCCUGCAGUAGCGGACGGUGUGUCCCUUACUAUUGCACCUAAUGCAAUGCAUUUCACGACAGGGUCCGUGAUGAUGAAAGUUGCAUCGGUUGCACUUAGGCUGGUNUCGUUGUACGCCUUGUGGGUGUAGGGGUGGUAGGGAUAGUAACAGAAUGAGCUAUCACUAACUGUUGCCUCUUGGGGUUCUCUUGCAUGGUUUCCCCCUUUCUCUUAUCCCAGGGUUUCCUUCGGUCCUCUAUAUCCUUCGGUGGCUCCGAGACAGCGGUAAUAGUACCCUGUUUAACACCGUGAUCAAUCAAUCGUUGAGCCAAGCACUUCACGCUGUCAAACGUGAUUGGGUUAGAGGCCAGGACAUGCCCUUGGAUCUGGGGUGAUAAUCCCUAAAUGUACCUCUCCACCUUCUUCGAUUCCGGGUUUACCAUACUUGGGCACAAGGCUGACAAAUCACUUAACCUAGCCGUGUAAGCGAUUACGUCCGAUCCGGUCAUCCUUAGGUUCCAUAGCUCAUGCUCUAAUUUUUGGACUUCGCCCCUCGGGCAGUAUUCUUCCAGCAUCAAGAUUUUGAGAUCUUCCCAGCUCAUGGCAUUAGCAACUGGGAGAGAUAGGGCUUCCACAUGUCCCUUCCACCAGGUGAGGGCUCGAUCAGAGAAAGUGCAAGCGGCGAACUUGACUUUGCUGGUCUCUGGGCAUGCACAUAUCUCGAAGACCGUUUCGGUCUUCUCGAACCAUUGCAUAAGUGCAAUGACUCCUCCUUCCCCGUUGAAAGUUUUUGGCUUUGCAUUCGAAAAUUCCUUGUAUGUGCAUUCUCUGAUAUAACCAUGGCCAGUGCCAUGAUUCAAGUGGUUGGUACUGCUUCCAGUUCCACCAGCUCCGUUAGUGUUUAUCUGCGUAAGAGCAGCUGCUACUGCUGCAGUGAUAGCAGCCUGAACCAUGACAGGAUCAUAUUGUGGGGGUGGUGGCGGCGGCGUAGGUGUUGCGUUGUUGAUGCGACGUGCAGAUCUACGAGGCGGCAUCGCUGCCAAAGAAAUAACAAUGAAGACAAUAAGUCUUUUAAUGAUUGUAUGGUUUGGGUAGUAGGGGUCUCCUGCUAGGUGGAAAUCCGGCCAUUGUGUUUGUACGAGAAUAGGGAGAUAAGGAUUGUCUAGAACUAAGGCACAUAAGGUUGACAUCAAAGUUAAACUAUCGUAUGCAUAAAAUACUCCUAUAGUAUUCUAAAUGUUAUGUUUGAUUCUAAAGUUUAUAAGUUUGGUAAGUUUUAAAUUUGUUGUCCAUUGCAGACACUCCUUGGCAUACGUUAGUCGGCUCUUGGACAAAUAUAGUUGAUCAGGCUAUAUUCUUCCCAGUUCCGAUUACAUGUCCCAAGGCAUACCUGCACUGCACAACUUAUUUAUAAUACUUCUAUAUUGUUUUAAUUAUGAUACUGACCAUGUUAUUAAUAUGAAAUGAAUGCAUGCCUACUUUACAAAAACUAAAUAAAUUUAAUUUUAAAAGUAUGACUCUUACUCAGAGUGUUUUUGCCCAGUUGUGUUUAUAGUUGUAUACCAAAAAUGGUUUUGAUAUACUUAAUUCACUAUAAACAAUGCUCUGAUACCAAUCUGUCACACCCCCAAACCAGAACGGCGGAAACGUUCGGGGGCGGAGGACGUCAUGUCAAAUAUCAUAACAAUUGAAUAGUAAAGAAAGUACACACCACCAUAAUAUAAAUAUAUUUGAAAAGUUUACAUGAUUGUAUAUGUUACAUGUUUGCAAAAGAAAUCAAAUACAAUAUGGUGAUCCAAAAUAUGUUACUAACGCCAGCGCGUUAGUCUUCAAAAGUAGUUGCUACCUGGUCUAGCGGUUUCCUGAGAAUACAAGUUAUUUCAAAGAAAAAGUGUCAACAUUUAAGUUGGUGAGUUCAUAAGUGGUGUUUUGAGAAAAUGUAUGCCAUUCGAAAGUGCUUGUAUGUUUUCCAGAAAAUCCCUUAUUUUCUAUUAGAUGUAUGAAAUGAGUUUGAAAGAUUGUUGUAUGUACUAUAUGUAUUUGAACCAGGAAAAUCCCUUAUUUUCCUAAAAGUGAAAUGCAGUCUCAAAUGACCAAGACUGUAAGCUAUAAGAAACUAUGACAUGCUCAAAAGAAUGAUGUUGUAAAUCGUUAUUGUACAAAAUGAAUGUAUUUGAACCAGGAAAAUCCCUUAUUUUCCUAAAAGUGAAGUGCAGUCUUAUUGUUAAGUAAAACUAGUUGUGGAAGUGUUUUAACCUGAGUUUUGAUCAUGCCGAUAAUACCCUAGAAUAUAGUUAUUACCCCUCGAGCAUGAUUGAGUUAAGUAUUACUACGUGCAUGAGUCAUUGUUUCCGCGUGUUGUGAGUUCCUCAUAACCAUACUAGACGCAGUACCUAAUGUUGACGUUUGUCACCCCAAAUGACGGACUGUAGCUAACAGUCAGGGUGCGGAGUUGUCAGCCCCGUAUAGAUCUAUACACACUUGUCACGCUCUCCCUCCAGGAGACUCUGGUUAUAGGUGAGGACUUUCGUUUGGUACAAACAAAGCCAUAUGCCAUCACAUGAUUGCUAACAACAAGUUCACGAGUAAUAUGAUGAAAAUCGUUCGUAUGAAAUGAUUUCGUUUUCUACCGUGUUACAAAAACGUGAUGAUGAGUUGAGUUUUCUUGUAAAAGCAUCAUGUUAUAGUUGAAAUGGUUACUCUUGAUAUGAUGUAGUAUGCAAACGUAUAAAUAAAACCUAUUUCUAUUUAUAAAACAUAUUGUAUCCCAAGAGGGUAAAGUUGUGUUGUGAGGUGUUUUGCAUGAUAAUAACUUCAUAAGAUAGUUUAAAACAACAGUAUGAAAAGUAUAUAAAAAGAUCGAUGUUUCACACGAUUUUAGUUGUGUGUUUACUUGUAUUCCCCCCCUUAAAAGUGUUUCAAAAGCAUUUAAAAAGCAUUUAAAGUGUGGUUGUAGGGGUAUGAACUCACUUGAUUGAAGUGGUUGAUUUGAAGUAGUCGAGAGGAGAAUCGAGCAGAACUUCGACAGGAAGAGUUGGAAACGCGGGAAAAUAUCGGGAUUCUCGGGAAUCUCGGGAAUCUCGAGAACACAAAACCUUCCUUCGGGACUUGAAGGUGAAAACCGGGGCUUCGGGAGUUGAAUCGUAGAGUUUAAGCACGAGAGAUGAAAGAAUGGAGCACCUAAACCCGGCACCCCAAGAGUUCUAUUUAUAGGGGCAUUUCUGGUGUGCCACGUUGUGGCUAAGGUUGGCCACGUCGUGGGGAGCAAGCCUUAUCCCCUUCCGUUGAUUGGACGCCCUCAGUCACUUGCCGGGUCGUGGCCAAGCUGUGCCACGUCGUGGGGGCCUGACAGCCUCGGAUUUUGGACCCCGAACUUGUAAAAUCCGUAACUUUCGCAUACGAGCUCCGUUUUCGACAUUCUUUAUAUGCACGCGUAGCUGAAAAUGUUGUCUACAACUCUUGUUUAGACUUCAUCGGCAAAUUUUGAUUUAUUUUUAACGAGCCGGGACCCGAAAAGUCCGUUAAAAAUCCAUAACUUCUUCAUCCUAUGUCCGUUUUCGUCAGACUUUUCGCCGUUGCGCUACUAAUGUUGAGACCUUCGAUUCUCAUUUAGGUUGUUUUGGUCAAAAGUAUCUCGAGCUCUAUUUCGAGUUUUUAGCUGUCUACUGCUGUACCCGAAUCUUAGAAAAAUCAUAACUUCCUCAUACGAAGUUAGAUUUGGACGUUCUUUUUAUGUACACUCACGGUUUGAUGUUAUAUAUAACUUUCAUUUAGAUACUUAAGGCUAAAAACUAUUGUAUUGAAACUUUGCGUUUUUCG